GAUGAACGCUGGCGGCGUGCCUAAUACAUGCAAGUCGAGCGAACGGACGAGAAGCUUGCUUCUCUGAUGUUAGCGGCGGACGGGUGAGUAACACGUGGAUAACCUACCUAUAAGACUGGGAUAACUUCGGGAAACCGGAGCUAAUACCGGAUAAUCUUUUGAACCGCAUGGUUCAAAAGUGAAAGACGGUCUUGCUGUCACUUAUAGAUGGAUCUGCGCUGCAUUAGCUAGUUGGUAAGGUAACGGCUUACCAAGGCAACGAUGCAUAGCCGACCUGUGAGGGUGAUAGGCCACACUGGAACUGAGCCGCGGUCCAGACUCCUACGGGAGGCAGCAGUAGGGAAUCUUCCGCAAUGGGCGAAAGCCUGACGGAGCAACGCCGCGUGAGUGAUGAAGGUCUCCGGAUCGUAAAACUCUGUUACUAGGGAAGAACAUAUGUGUAAGUAACUGUGCAGAUCUUGACGGUAACUAAUCAGAAAGCAACGGCUAACUACGUG
rnacentral:rRNA from 1 species